UGGCCAUGUAGUACUUUCCAAUGGCCUGGUCGGCGGUGAGAAGUGCGUCAACGGUCUGUCCCGGCGUUAAGAUCAUCACAUCGGUGAGGUACGGCGUCGAGUAGACAGCAUCUACAGCGACAACUGUGACGUUGUGAUUGGCUAUUUUGAAGAAGAGGUGAGUGUUGAGUGCUGCGUUUACGAUCCUUAGCAAGUAUGUUUUUCCUUGUACAACUUUGAGGUUAAACAUUCCUACCAAAGCCAAAAAUAAAAAUAAAAGUUAAUUCUGUUUUUUGUAAACAAUUUACAAUAAAAAGUAACUUUUGAUUCAAGUAAAGAGUGAGUAUUACUAUUCUCAGAGCAAGGAUAUGAAUCUCCGGCGAGGCCAUUGAUGAGGUAAGCAUCAGAAACCGGAGCUGGCCGUAAUUGGAGAAGUCUAACAUCUGUGUCCCACCAUUGUUCUUGCAUAAUAAAAAAAUUCAAACAAAGUUAAUUGAUAAUUAUGAAUCCUAUAUAUCAUAAUUUCUUUAUAUUGUAUAUAUAUAUAAUUAUCUUUAGUGGAUAUUUAUUAAAACCGAACCAACUUGGUCAUAAUACUCGUCAGAAUGUGGCGUAGAUCGAGAAAGUUGUAUCAACUUGUAAAAGACAGCUGUUUGAAAAAACUAUAUUUUUUUUGAGAUAUGUUGCUUUUACUAUUAUAUUGAAUCACUAUAAUCGAGAAUUGUCGCUGUCACAAAAUUGAUUUCGACUUUGCAAAAAAAAGAGGGAAAUACUUACGAAAAACGAUAGGAACUUCCUUGUAGGGUUUAGGAAAAGGGUAAGGACGGCCGGAUCGGGGACGGAUGACUAGAGCCCCGUGAAGAGUGGCACGUAGAUUAACGACGUGUGCGUGCCAUAACAAUGUACCUUCUUGUCCAGUGAUAUCAAAUUGAUAUGUGAAGUUGUAACCUGGUUGAAUCGGACAUUGAGUUAUCAUAUUCGCACCGUCCAUCCAUACGCUCUUCAACUGGAAAACUCCAUGCCUAUACAUAUAUGUGUGAAAUUAAGAAAUAACUUUUAUUAACAUCUAAAAAGUCAGUAAUUAGUUGAUGAAAUGAUAUUGAAAUCGACUUCCAUUAUAAAGAAAAAAAACAAUAGUAAUGAGAUCAAUAAGUUAUCUAAUUACCAGUGGAUGGUUACAUUGUAAGUUGAGUUGUUAAUGACAUUAACCACAAGAGUGUCGCCUUCUCUAACGUUUAUCGUUGGGCCGGGAAGACUUCCAUUAGCUGCCGGUAUUAUUUGCUCCUUGCAUAACGGUUUCACCACGACGUCUUGGAUCUGUUGGUUAGACGUCGUUAUUAGUAUUGUGUUACUAUUAAAUGUUUUUUACCGGCAAAGUUAAAAACUAAAAAUCGGGGCUCAUAGAUUAGAGAUCCAUCAAAUACGGUAUUAAUUUCUGAAAUCGAGGAAAAGAAAACACAAACACACGCAAUUCAACAACUUUCCGAUUUUAAGAAAUAAAUGACUAGUAUAUAAAAUGGAAAUUGGUAAUAUAAUAUAGUUCCCACAGUAAUAAAAUUAAUAGUUAAUAUUUCGAAAAUUUUGGUUAGGUUAUUAAAAAAGGGAGAGAAAGUGGUAUAAGAGUAAAUACGUGGAGAACAUGUUCGACAACAGCUGCUGAGGCAAUGGAAGAGAAGAGAAGAAGGACGAGGAACGCUUGAUUUGAGAGAUAAUGAUGAAGUCGAGGCAUUGUUAAUGUAAGGAUAAUUUGCCCCACUUGUGAUUUUGUGAGAGACUCGUACGCGUAUUUAUAGAACGAACUAAUAGAGAGAGAUGGCAAAACUAAAAUACUAUAUUAUUAUUCAAUUAUUAAUUUGCCAGAAAUGGCAAUCUAGACACGAUUGAACACGUCGUUGACCAACCAAAAAAAAAAAAUAGCAAACUUCCCUCAGGGAUUAGUCAUUAUAUACUGUAAUUUUCUUUAGGGUUAUGUCACAUGUUAAAACUAGUAUUAAUACUACCUCAAAUUUAUUUAGUUUUGUUUUAUAAAAUUUGCUUUUGUAUUUUUAAUGCAGAAUUUUCAACAAAAUUUGUAAUUCUCUCUUUCAACUUAUAAAUUGGAGGUUAUCAAAAAAGAAAACUAGUUAAUUGGACAAAACUUAUGAAUUGAACAAUUAAACUCAUCAUAAGUGUUUAAAUAGAUGAUAUAAUAUAAAGUUAAACACCUUUUUUAUGAAACACCCCAAAAAUAAGGUAAUUCGUUGCAAAAGAAGCUGUUAGAUUUAUAAUUAUAUUGUAACAACUAUGUUUUUAGUUUAUAUACAAAUUUGAUUGCACUUUCAGUGUUGUAAAAAAUAUACUCCAUCUGAAAAGAGGUUAUAUAUGAAAAAGUACUUUGAUCAUCCCUUUUUUGAUAAAGGAUCAUCCCUUUUUAUAUAACAAAAGUGUAAUCAUUUAUGCCCGAACGGAACCAAAUAAUCAAAUGUCCACCCCUAAUGAUUGCUUCUAAAAUCUAAUUUAUUGUUUUUCUGAUCACGAACAAAUAUAUAACUACAAAUUUAAUCCAAAUUUCUUUGUUUUCGAACUAAUUCAACCUUAUAUUCCCGUUCUUACAUGAAAACAUUUGAAGCUUACAUUUAGUAAUUAACAUUACCAUAUUCUAUAUUUUUUUAAAAAAAAAUCUUCUCGAGUCAGCGGCACACAUAAACAUUAUACAGCUAAGUAACUCUGCCAUGUGAAUCACGAGAUCGAUUUAAUUUAAAAGGCGAAAUUGUCAUGUGUACCGUUGUGCGUGCUUAGUAAGACUCAGGACUUAAGAGAUCAAUAUAAAUCAGGAAAACUAAUAUACUUAAUGCCAGUUGCAUUUGAUUACUGACUCCAACACAUCUUUACCCACCCCUUACAUAUUAAUUUAUAAAUAAAUGUAAAGAAUAAAAACUUGAUUUUUUCAUGUAAAUAUUGAUGGACUUGUCAUUACUCAUUAGCUUUAUUAAUCAAAAGAAUCAGUCAAUUAUAUUGUAUGACUUGCCAGGCGAAAACAAUGGAUUAGCUAAUGAUAAGAAAAUAAUUACUUUUCUUUUCUAUAACGACAUUUUUCGCCACAGUUGCUUCGAUUGAAGAUUAUUGGGCUAGAUGAUAAAGUUUAACCCAUUAGGUCUAAAGCGUAUUUGUAGCCCAUUUAUCCUUUUUUUUUAUUGUUAUGAAAAAAAAAACCUUAUACAUAAAUCUCUGAACCGAUCGUUCCAUUAAUGCAUUAACCACUAUAGAAUAUAAUGAAAAAAACUUCCAUACAUUGAAUCGCGAACAAACAAAAAAAGGGGUUAACUAUUACCUACGAUUUUUUUUUUGUGAACAAUUAUUAUUAUUAUUAUUUUUUGUGAACAAUUAUUACUACGAUAUAUUUCGAAAAUAGUGUUAAAUUAACAAUAAAAUUAUAGCAAGUAUGAUUCAUGACCUAACGACACAAGUAACCAACAGAUAUUAUAUCCGUUUGACAUUUUUUUUUUUGCCAUUGUUAAAUAUAUAAAUAAUAAUCUUAUUAAUUUUCGUAUCAUAGCCAGUGAAAUAUAUGUCCAAGUUGGCAGGUUAUCUCCGUAUGGAUAGAGGUGAAGAGAGCGUUCAGAGUAAUGUUUUGAAUGUCGGAGACUCGGAGUCUUGGAUUGGGAACGUGUAGAGAAAUGGAAGCAUGGUCGUAAAUAAACACAAGAAAUAUACUGAAUUUUAAGAAACAAUGAUUUCGAAAAAUGUGGAUACAAUGACUACGAUUGAUAGUCAACAGUAAAUGUAAUUUAUUUUCUUAAACGAACUUUGCUACUUUUAGUAAGACAUAUCAACAUUAGUCGUCCGAGAGUCAUAGAUCGUAGGAUCCCGAGUGCAUUGCGGAAGAUUCGACGGUGGAGAUGGCAAACUCGUUUCCCGGGUUGGCCCAUUUUGAACUAUGAAAGCCAUCAUAAUUCCUAAUGGUAAAUGUGCAUCCAUGUGACAAUGGAACAGCCAUAUACCUGCAAAAAAACAAUUUCAUAUUCUUAUUAAUCCAUCGAUUAAUAUCUAAUUGGUGUAAAUACUAAACAUAUAGAAAUGUUACUAACCAGGAUUAUUAGCGAUAAAUCUGAGGACAACCCAUCCACCUGGUGGUACACCAACGGUAUUGUGCAUUUGCGGGUUAAAUAGAUUAAGCUUUCUUGCAUCACGAAUAGGAUCAUAGUUACCAAAUCCAUAACCUAACACAUAGAAGUUGAAACCGUGAAGGUGCAUGGGGUGGCUCUCCGGGGUUAGUAUUCCCGUGUUCUGCAAAACGAUCUCCACUGUAGAAUUAAAUCUAAUUGUCUUGACGCUAGUCUUUCUUUCCGGAAACAUCAUCUCCAUGUCAGAAUUGGUGGGAUGCUGUUCAAAUUUUGUGAAAUCAAAUUUAAGCGGUGGUUGGUCGGGAAAAUCGUCAGUGUAGACUCCAGUAAUGUUGUAAAAAUAAGCCUCUUGCAUAGAGAUUCUCUCCGGAAUCAUAAAAGUGCGGUUGUUUAGAGAUCCAGCUAACCUUUGAUCUAACGGUCCAACACACUUGGCGUUCGAAGGACAUGGGUCUAAGCCAAGCCCCAUCGUUAUGAACAUCUUCUCGUCCACGUGACGAGGCACCGGCGUCCAGUGAGGUCCACCCACGAGGCUAGUGAUGUUCGAGGAGAACCUAUGAGCGGUGGGUAUGUCAUUCGCCGGAGGCAUCCACGGCUUUGUUGGCGAUGAUGAUGACGUAGCACCCUCGUAGACGAUUAAGCCUCUGGUGGGUUUGGUGUCGGGGGAUGCCGGUACCCCGAUGGCACUAAAGUAAGGGAUGAUGGCCAUGUAGUACGUUCCAAUGGGCUGGUCAGCGGUGAGAAUUGCGUCAAUUGUUUGUCCCGGUGUUAAGAUCAUCACAUCGGUGAGGUACGGCGUCGUGUAGACAGCAUCUACAGCAACAACUGUAACGUUGUGAUUGGCUAUUUUGAAGAAGAGGUGAGUGUUGAGUGCUGCGUUUAUAAUCCUUAGCAAGUAUGUUUUUCCUUGUACAACUUUGAGGUUAAACAUUCCUAUCGAAGCGGAAAAAAAACGAAAGAAAUUAUGUUUUUUUUUGUAAACAAUUGUGUUGUGUCAAUU
rnacentral:lncRNA from 1 species